rnacentral:rRNA from 1 species
UACAGAGGUCCCAAGCGUUGUUCGGAUUCACUGGGCGUAAAGGGUGUGUAGGUGGCGAUGUUAGUCUUCUGUCAAAUUCUUCGGCUUAACCGGGGGUCUGCAGGGGAAACGGCAUUGCUCGAGUAUGCAAGGGGUGAAUGGAACUCAUGGAGUAGGGGUGAAAUCCGUUGAUAUCAUGGGGAACACCAGUAGCGAAGGCAAUUCACUGGUGUAUUACUGACGCUGAGACGCGAAAGCGUGGGUAGCAAACGGG